GCAUCGCGACCCCAGGUCAGGCGGGAUUACCC
rnacentral:rRNA from 1 species